CUUAUUCCUGUUCAUUUAUUAUCACUUUUAAUAAAAUAAGAUGAAAUAAAAAAGGAAAUAAGAUGCAUAAAAAGUAUUAAAGAAUUUUUAAUGUUUAAAUCAAAUGUUUAGAUAUAGAAUUCAAUAAAAUGAUGUUUAAUAACAUAAUUCAAUUCAGUAAUGACUGAUGGAAGAACUUGUAUAGUUCGGUACAUAAAAUCUUGGAAUGAAUGUAUGCAGAAGUGACCAUUUCAGAACUUAAUGCAGGCUGGCCAAUACUGCAACUGGGACAGAAGUUUAUUGAAGAGUUAAGGAAUGGUAAAUGGAUUAAGCCUGAAGUCACCCUGAAAAUUGUGAAAUUUAAACCUGGAAUUGAUCUCAAUUCUCCAGAUGAAAUUUUUGAGUAUGGCUAUCCAGCUGAUCAGUUAAUGAAAAUAUAAAUGUGAACUUGCCAGUCUUUUAUCAGGAAGCUAGAGCUUUAAAAAAUUGAAACUGAAUCAAAAUUUUAAUUUCCUAUUUCAGUGUAC
rnacentral:lncRNA from 1 species